CGCAUCUGUGCUGCAGCAUAUCAAUAAGCGGAGGAAAAGAAACUAACAAGGAUUCCCUUAGUAACGGCGAGUGAAGCGGGAAGAGCUCAAAUUUGAAAUCUUCAAGGUUUUACCUUGACGAAUUGUAGUUUAAAGAAGUGUUUUCUGUUGAAGUUUUGGUAAAAGUUCUUUGGAAUAGGACAUCAUAGAGGGUGAGAAUCCCGUAUUUGACCAUUAUUUUCAGCUGUGUGAUACACUUUCAAAGAGUCGGAUUGUUUGGGAAUGCAGUCCAAAAUGGGUGGUAAAUUUCAUCUAAAGCUAAAUAUUGGCGAGAGACCGAUAGCGAACAAGUACCGUGAGGGAAAGAUGAAAAGAACUUUGAAAAGAGAGUUAAACAGUACGUGAAAUUGUCAAAAGGGAAGCGUUUGACACCAGUGUUGUUUUCUCGAAAAUCAAUUAAAAAGAGUUAGACUUUGUUGUGUAUUGACCUUAACAGCUUGCAUUUCAAUUUUCUUGCUUUUUUUAAUGCACUUUUCGUUUAACAAGUCAACAUCAGUUUCUUUUGUUGUAAAAAGGUCAUUGGAAGGUGGCUUUCUUUUCGGAGAAAGUGUUUAUAGCCUUUGACUCCUGCAAUCGGAGAGACUGAGGUCUGCAGCGUAGAUCCUUCGGGGUUAGAUACAUUUGUGCUAAGUUAUAGCUUUUUAUAGACAACUUGUUGACUAUGAUUAGUCUUGUAGCUUACUCGCUUAUGCUAUUUUACCUACGCUUAGGAUGUUGAUCUGUAGUGCGUGCGC
rnacentral:rRNA from 1 species